rnacentral:tRNA from 1 species
GCCUGGGUGGCUUAGUCAGUUAAGCGUCCGACUUUGGCUCAGGUCAUGAUCUCACAGUCCGUGAGUUCGAGCCCCACGUCAGGCU